GGCCUAUUGCAUUUAAGUCCUCUUGCAAUUGAAACCAACAAGAAUACAUAAUAGGCUUUCUAAUAGGCACAUUCUCUAUUUUUGUUUUUUAACCUUUAUUGUUCUUACUAUUUCCUUAUCUAAAAAAACGUAGUGUUUUCCUUAAACCUAAAAUUGUUUCAUAAUUCUUUUGUACACAAUUAGUACUUUGUUAAACUAUAUAAGUUUCUUCUAUAUAUUUUUGUUAAUUUCUUUUCUUUUUCUCCCCCUCAAGCAUGGUAAGGUGAUAGGUGUUGUUUGCACCUUGUUAUUUUAAAGGUCACGAGGAAUCCAAUCACAAGAAUUAGUUAUAGAAACUUACAUAUAGUCAAUGCAAUUUGAUGUACACCUAUGUACUUGAUUCUUUUUUCCUUUUCACUAUGAAUUUGGGAGAAUAAAC
rnacentral:misc_RNA from 1 species